AUUUCCAAAUAAAGAAACUGACUGUAAAUAGGGAUUCUGGAUAGAAGACACAGAACGCAUCGGCUACCGUUCAAUACUGAUAUUCCUUCCAUCAGUGUCAGAGGUAACAUAAAAAAUUCAUCCACACCAACACUCAAGACUGAAGAACAAUCUUUAAUCAUCUUUGAUCUGUGACUCCAAAGAAACAAUAUGGAGCUUGAGCAAAGUCAGAGUCAAGUCAAACCAGCAUUGGCCCCUCGCAGGCAAAGCAGCGAACACGCCGGCGACACGCCAGGACACUGAAUGCGAACCGGCCAGGCGACGCCACCACACGAGGUCGCAAGCAAAGCAAGCGGAGACGAUUGCAUUAGGACCAGGCGUCUGUAGCUUCUAAAAGUAGAAUGAGCUGCCGGGAGUUGGCUUGGCAGACGAUGAGUAGCGGCGGAGCCGGCCGGUGCAGUGGGCGAGCGGCUCAAACGCGG
rnacentral:lncRNA from 1 species